ensembl:lncRNA
CAUGGACAUCACCAACCGCAUCUACAACAGCUCUCUACUCAAGUCCAACUCUUCUGAUUAUGCGAUCUUGUACAAACAAGUUACUGACAUGCUCAACUCCAUCUACGGCUGUGCCACGUGUAAAACACACGUGUUUUAUGUCAAUGUGUCAGCGAUGACCUUCAGCAAUCAAACUGGAACCGUGCUCGUAAAGGCUAGUCUCGUGUUCCAGUCAAACAAAACCAACGCUGAUGAGAUCAAAGGGCUGUUUAUGAACGCGACCGCUGCCGAUAAGGAAAUAAACGGCCUUAAAGUCAACCCUAAUUUCACACAAGGUAAGCGUGAGUGCUGACUUAUGGAAAGUAGAGCAAAAUGUAAC